rnacentral:rRNA from 1 species
GACGAACGCUGGCGGCGUGCUUAACACAUGCAAGUCGUGCGGUAAGGCCCUUUCGGGGGUACACGAGCGGCGAACGGGUGAGUAACACGUGAGCAGCCUGCCCUUCACUUUGGGAUAACUGCCGGAAACGGUGGCUAAUACCGGAUAUGACUUCCUCACGCAGGUGGGGUGGUGGAAAGCCUUCGGGUGGUGGGGGAUGGGCUCGCGGUCUAUCAGCUUGUUGGUGGGGUGAUGGCCUACCAAGGCGUCGACGGGUAGCCGGCCUGAGAGGGUGACCGGCCACACUGGGACUGAGACACGGCCCAGACUCCUACGGGAGGCAGCAGUGGGGAAUAUUGGACAAUGGGCGAAAGCCUGAUGCAGCAACGCCGCGUGAGGGAUGACGGCCUUCGGGUUGUAAACCUCUUUCGCCUGCGACGAAGCGAGAGUGACGGUAGCAGGUAAAGAAGCACCGGCCAACUACGUG